GACGAACGCUGGCGGCGUGCCUAAUACAUGCAAGUUGAGCGCUGAAGGUUGGUACUUGUACCAACUGGAUGAGCAGCGAACGGGUGAGUAACGCGUGGGGAAUCUGCCUUUGAGCGGGGGACAACAUUUGGAAACGAAUGCUAAUACCGCAUAAAAACUUUAAACACAAGUUUUAAGUUUGAAAGAUGCAAUUGCAUCACUCAAAGAUGAUCCCGCGUUGUAUUAGCUAGUUGGUGAGGUAAAGGCUCACCAAGGCGAUGAUACAUAGCCGACCUGAGAGGGUGAUCGGCCACAUUGGGACUGAGACACGGCCCAAACUCCUGCGGGAGGCAGCAGUAGGGAAUCUUCGGAAAUGGACGAAAGUCUGACCGAGCAAAGCCGCGUGAGUGAAGAAGGUUUUCGGAUCGUAAAACUCUGUUGGUAGAGAAGAACGUUGGUGAGAGUGGAAAGCUCAUCAAGUGACGGUAACUACACAGAAAGGGACGGCUAACUACGUG
rnacentral:rRNA from 1 species